CUGGGCAAAGAUUGCUGCGUGGGUUGCCGGGACUUCUCAAGAUGGCAGCGUGCUAACCAGAGCUCUGUGGAGUUGUGUUGCCGUCUGAGUUGCGGGUGUAAAUCUGACGUACAACCGCUGGUGGUUGGGGAUCUACCUGUAGUGUGGCUGGUGCGAUCGGAAUGCUUCGUCAAGCAGCAGAGAGCAAAAGAGACGAGAAUGUCUUGAUACACAUUUGGGACAAAGAUUGUGUCGCUCUGGAGGUUGGAUAUCGCACCUCUUGUUACAAAUCAUACACUCAGUUCUGACAAGGAGAAGCAAGGACCCUGAAGGGUUCAAAAGGGUGUGAUGGGAAGAUCUGUUUGGAUGAAGUUACCAGUAUAAAAAGCGUAGUUUACUGUCUGAUUGUAUUGAAGGAGUGAACUUCAGAUGGAGCACCAAGAGGCCUGCGAGAUGUUCAACAGAGAUAGUGAUAGUCCAGGAAAUCGUGGGAAUUAAACCAGCUGUGAAGUAUACAUCUUUUUGACUGCCCUUUUAUUUGCUCUUUUCGACGGCGAACCCACGACAACUUGGCGGCAGCCGUGGAACGACACCGAUUUACCGAGGAUCACUGCAGUCUGGAUCUGUACUGGAUUUAGUUCGAAUUGGAUUUUACCCUGGAAUAUACUGGUGCGAUUUGAAAUAUCCUGGUGCGACUCGGACAUACGGAUGCAAGUUGGAAUAAAAAGAGUGCAAAUUGGAUUAUAUUGGUGGGAGUUGAAUUUACCGCAGGAAUAUUGUGACUGGAUUGUCACUCUUGGAUGUUUACCAUGGAUAACACCUGUGGAUUAUGUUCUGUGGAUUUUGCUGAGAGAUCGGAUACGACUCUUGGAUAUAUGCGAUGGUCCGAAGAAAUAAAUCGAAGGAUGUAAGCUGUGCAGAAUGAUUACUCCAUGAUGACGGCAUCCCUGAAGCGGCGGUUUGGGGACAGAGCACUACCGGAGACAUACAGGACUCAAUUGCACACAUUUGAGGCAAAACGCAAAGGAGUCUACGACUGAGUUUGCCACCAAAGUACGCGCCUAUGUCGUGAAAACGUACCCAGCUGCACCAGAAGAGCUACAAGAGAAACUGGCCGUUGAACAUUUCCUGAAAACAUUGCCAGAUUCGCAGAUGGGAUAUAACGUGAUGGUUAAGCAACCUCGCGAUUUAAAUGAAGCUGAGCAUAUGAUCGCGGUUCACAAAAGCUUCAAAACCAAUUUCUCAAGGAAAUUAGUGCGUGCUGUGAGUUCGGUUAGCGAGGAGCAAGAACCGACCACCGAAGUACGCCAGGUGAGCGACAAACGCCUCGUGACGGAAGAGCGCUUACAGGUGUUUGGGCGUGAACUUAACCAAACCAUUACCGCUGAAGUGAUUGACAAAGUCACUGCCUCGACAACGCCUGGGCUAAAGGAAAUAAAGUCAAUGCUGAAUUGUAAGAACAACGCUCGUCAAGCCGGUGGACUGAGCCGAUGAUACAACCAGCAGAAAGUCACUUGCCAUGGUUACGGAAAGGCCGGUCAUAUCAAAAGAUUUUGCCCUGAAGCUGAAUCAUCAGGAACGUCGACCCGGGAAUCAGCCGUCUGACAAUCAGAAGGAAAACUAGGCAGGGCCGAGCCUACCAGCCAGGGUUCGGCCGGGCAAAAGGAAAAGAAACUAUGUACAGUUAUUGAUAUAAGACGUGCCGGUGAAGGUGGAUAUACAAUGCUUGCCCCUUUGGAAAUUUUUGGAAAAAACUUUCAAGCUGUUGUGGAUACGGGAGCCGAAGUAAUGUAACAAUCCCUUCAGAAAGAACUUACCGUGACUUGCCGACGGAACUCCGUCCAACUUUGCAGCAAAGUUCCAUUGCGCUGGAGAAAGCUGAAGCUGGUAAAAUGAUGAAUGUGCGCUUUGACUGGCCUGUGUAUGUUGCGCCAAUACGGGAUGACGUAUUGCUCGGAUGAGACUUCAUACACAGUAAUGACAUUGGAAUACGCACUCGCGAUGGAAUUCAAGUGGAAGGAGAAUGGAUCCCUUGUGAAUUAGUUGAAGGGAAAACGCGCGUUGCACGAGUUCAGCUGUGCAAAAAUGUCGUCGUACCUGCCUGGAGUGAAUUUACUUUGCCGUGUAAAAUCAGCGGGAGGAAUCAUGCUGACGCGAGUUGUGGCGUUGUUGAACCCGUGGAAUUCUCCUAGAAUGUUCCUGUCAUAUGUGCCAGAUCACUAGUUGACCCAAGCAACCACAUGAUACCCGUUCGGGCAGUGAAUUCUUCAAACUCGCCGGUUGAACUGAAGAAAAUUACCGAUGUUGGCGAAAUUCAUCCGGUAGACACCGUGCAAGAAAUUGCUGCGAGUGUGUUGGCAGAAAUCGAUGCCAUGACGCGAGUUACUUCCGUAUGCAGAGUAUAUCAAUAAUCUUUAAACCAUUUCAAGGCAGUACCUCUGACACCAUGUGCACAUAACUUUGAAAUCAGAAUAUCAUGGUCUAUUGUAUUAAAAGCCUUCGAAAGAUCUAAAAACAUCAAUUGUAUGUCCCAGUUUGUCUAGGCUAGAUGUUGUUUAUCAACUAAAUCAAUCAGGGCAAGUUGAGUUGAAUGUUUGGCCCUGAAUCCAUAUUGACAUAGUGCAAGUAUAUUAAAUCUAGCCAUAAACUGUUCAAGACGGUUAGCAACUAAUCGUUCCAACAAUUUUGAGAAGCAAGGCAACACAGAUAUUGGACGAUAAUUAUUGACCUGGGAAUGAUCCCCAGUUUUGAAGACUGGAAUAAUUUAGCAAUUUUAAUUUGGUCAGGAACCUCAC
rnacentral:lncRNA from 1 species